GACGAACGCUGGCGGCGUGCUUAACACAUGCAAGUCGAACGGAAAGGCCCUGCUUUUGUGGGGUGCUCGAGUGGCGAACGGGUGAGUAACACGUGAGUAACCUGCCCUUGACUUUGGGAUAACUUCAGGAAACUGGGGCUAAUACCGGAUAGGAGCUCCUGCUGCAUGGUGGGGGUUGGAAAGUUUCGGCGGUUGGGGAUGGACUCGCGGCUUAUCAGCUUGUUGGUGGGGUAGUGGCUUUCCAAGGCUUUGACGGGCAGCCGGCCUGAGAGGGUGACCGGCCACAUUGGGACUGAGAUACGGCCCAGACUCCUACGGGAGGCAGCAGUGGGGAAUAUUGCACAAUGGGCGGAAGCCUGAUGCAGCAACGCCGCGUGCGGGAUGACGGCCUUCGGGUUGUAAACCGCUUUCGCCUGUGACGAAGCGUGAGUGACGGUAAUGGGUAAAGAAGCACCGGCUAACUACGUG
rnacentral:rRNA from 1 species